rnacentral:rRNA from 1 species
AGCGAACGCUGGCGGCAUGCCUAACACAUGCAAGUCGAACGAGACCUUCGGGUCUUGUGGCGCACGGGUGCGUAACGCGUGGGAACCUGCCCUUAGGUUCGGAAUAACUCCCCGAAAGGGGUGCUAAUACCGGAUAAUGUCUUCGGACCAAAGAUUUAUCGCCUUUGGAUGGGCCCGCGUUGGAUUAGCUAGUUGGUAGGGUAAAAGCCUACCAAGGCGACGAUCCAUAGCUGGUCUGAGAGGAUGAUCAGCCACACUGGGACUGAGACACGGCCCAGACUCCUACGGGAGGCAGCAGUGGGGAAUAUUGGACAAUGGGCGAAAGCCUGAUCCAGCAAUGCCGCGUGAGUGAUGAAGGCCUUAGGGUUGUAAAGCUCUUUUACCCGGGAUGAUAAUGACAGUACCGGGAGAAUAAGCUCCGGCUAACUCCGUG